UGUUUUUCAGAAAGAUUCAGAUCCUACUCUGUGCCACCUGCUGGUCAAACAUGGUUACUACAUCUGGAGAUGACUUCACUGGUACAGGACACCCAGAAUAGGAUUCAACAAUUGGAUAAUGACAUUAAAUCAAUGGCUGGAAAAUUUGGGAGAGACUAUGGUAGAAGUAGAGCUGAGUUUCAAAGCUUGCAAGAUGAAAUACAGAACAGAGAUAACAAACAAGAAAUGUCUAUCAAGUCGAUUGAUGAGGCAAAUCACAACCUUUAUUCUAAAUUUCAAUUCCUCGAUGGCAAUCUCCAUGCCAGCCAGAUGCUAGCUAUCGACGAACGUAUUACACAUCUAGAAAACCUUGUAGAACAACAGUCACAGCAAAUCGUGGAUUCUAUAUCAUGCCUUGAAUCUUUCAUGAUGAAUGAGAUUAAAACCUGCCAUGAGGAUGUCUUGGCUAGGCUGAAAGACCGAUUUGAUGAAGAGGAGACAGAAUCACUCCACUCUGAGACACCUACUCCAAACAGCCAAUGAAGACCCACCUGAUGACAAUCCCGUGAUGCUCCUGAAAAGGAAUUGGGCCAUACCUCUUCGACUGCACUGGCUCCAACUUACUCUGUUUCAACUGACACUCCAACCAGAGCUUUGAGUACUGACUUCAAUCAAGUUGAGGAUUUCAACCUAGAUCUUCAAUCAAGCAAAUCCCAUCUAACAUUGACUGGAGAUAACCCAUUAGAGACUUUCACUAUACUAACAUUUUUUCCCCACAAGAGAACUCAAGGCUACCAUCAUCCCAUUUCAGCAGGAAGUAACUUAGCUACACCCCCGUUCCCCAUUAUUGUCUAUUAGGGUAGUGUAUGCUUAGUUAGGAAUAACUUAUCAUUUAGAGUUGGGAUUGGAAGGAGGUGCUCAAGUUGGACACCCUUUCCACAUGACUUUAGGGCUUAGCUGGAAUAGAAGUAGUUAGGAUUGCAAUAGCAGAUUAUUGUAUCUUCUUGUAUUUCACCUUUAUGAUUGUUAAUUUUGGAUGUUUUACACUAUAAGUUUAAUCCUCUUUUAGACUAAAAGGUGAAUUGUAGGGAGACACUGUAGCCCCACAGGGAAGAGGUGUGCUUGACUAUGCCCAUGAGGGAGUGGUCAGGGGAGGUUCAGGAUGACUUGUGGGGAAUUCUUAAGGAGAGAACAGAUGUGGGAGAGCACUCUCUUUCUGGGCUCCCUAGCCUGCUGCCUGAGGGCAUUAUCUCUCUGGCUUGUGUUUGGCUGG
rnacentral:lncRNA from 1 species